rnacentral:misc_RNA from 1 species
UUUCCGUAGGUGAACCUGCGGAAGGAUCAUUAAUGAGUUGUCAUGGGGUUCGAUGCUGGCAGCCAAUUUUUGGAUGCAUGUGCUUGCCCUAACAAUCAUCUUCCAAACACCUGUGCACAUUUUUGAGGGAGUCUUGAGUUGGUUGCCGCUCUUGGGUGAUUUUCUCACACUCCCGUAAAUCAUUAUACGCUAUUAACAAUGAUGAACGUGCUCUGUGCCGCAAGGCUAUUAAUAUAAUACAACUUUUAACAACGGAUCUCUUGGCUCUG